GACAGAGGGUGCAAACGUUGUUCGGAAUUACUGGGCGUAAAGCGCGUGUAGGCUGCUUUGUAAGCCAGAUGUGAAAUCCCCGGGCUCAACCUGGGAAUGGCAUUUGAGACUGCGUAGCUAGGGUGCGGAAGAGGGAAGCGGAAUUUCCGGUGUAGCGGUGAAAUGCGUAGAUAUCGGAAGGAACACCAGUGGCGAAAGCGGCUUCCUGGUCCAGCACCGACGUUCAGGCACGAAAGCGUGGGGAGCAAACAGG
rnacentral:rRNA from 1 species